UUUGUUGCUGCGCCGCCACCGCCCGAACCAUGGUCCGCGCUCCAGUCGGGCUCUCUUAGCAGCAGCAGCCGCCGCCGCCGCCGCCGCCGCCGCCGCCCUGUGAUCGCUGGCUUCACUUCCUCCUUUUCUUCUUGCUGAGCCACUUUCCUCCUAGAGCUAUGACCGUCGUCUCCGUCCCCCAGCGGGAGCCACUUGUCCUGGGCGGCCGCCUUGCGUCUCUGGGCUUUUCCACCCGUGGUUACUUCGGGGCCCUCCCGAUGGUGACCACGGCCCCUCCGCCUUUACCCCGGAUCCCGGACCCCCGGGCACUGCCCCCCACCCUUUUCCUCCCUCACUUCCUCGGGGGAGACGGUCCCUGUCUGACCCCACAGCCUCGCGCCCCUGCACCUCUGUCCAACUGUAGUCUAGCUACGGCGGGAGGCACCCCUCGGGCAGCGCCAAAGAAGCGGCGAAAGAAGAGGGUGCGGGCCAGCCCGGCGGGGCAGCUGCCCAGCCGCUUCCAUCAGUACCAGCAGCACCGGCCGAGCCUCGAGGGCGGGCGGAGCCCCGCGACGGGCCCGAGCGGAACGCAGGAAGUCCCGGACCAGGCGGCCAGUUUGGCCCCAGGUCCUGCGGCCGCAACCCCAACUGAGGAAGCGAGCCCUUUCCCCGGCCAGCUGCCGCCCGCGGCGCCCGGCCAGCCCUUGUUCAGAAGAGAGGUAAGGACCGCGAGGGGGACAUGGAGGCUGUUGAGUUCUGGCCCUUAGACGGGCACGGCCGGG